CCCUGAGCCCGAAGCUGAGCCUGACCAGAUACUCCAGAGGCGUAUAGUACCUGGAGAGAACCCACAAACUGGGGCCCAAAACCGAAUGCCCGCAGAGUGCCCAAGAGAUACCCAUGGUCCACCCUGUCGAAUGCUUUCUCCUGAUCCAGGGACAGAAGGGCAAAUGACAGACCAUCCCCACACCUGAACUUCAAGAGAUCCUGGACCAAGUACAGAUUGUCAAAGAUGGUAUGGCCCAGGACAGUGUAGGUCUGGUUGGGGUGGACCACAUCCACCAGCACGGACCCCAGCCGCAGCGAGAUGGCCUUCACUACAAUCUUAUAGUCUGUGCUGAGGAGUGAGAUGGGAUGCCAGUUCUGAAUGUCACGGAGGUCCCACUCCUUCAGAAGCAAGGCGAGCAUGGCUCACCUGCAGGACAAAGGGAGGACCCCGCUCCUCAAGGACUCGGCCUGUGAGUGAGUGGUUGAGGGGAGAUAUAUAAGCCCUAGCCUAAUUAAGGCAUGGUUCCCGGUCAACUAGGGAAGGUUACUACAGAUUAAUUGGAGCACCUGUAGCCAAUUAAGGACCUGUCAGGAACCUAAUAAAAACCCCUGCUUCAGGCAGACAAGGUGGUGCAAGGAGAGAGGACUGGAGUUUGGAGGUGUGUUGCUGAGAAUUGAAAGAUCAGAGAGGAAGGGAGGGAAGGCAGAGACUCCCUCUCCCAGCGUCAAGGACCAAGGGUAACCCUACCCAAGGGGGAAGAGGAGAUCUUGCCCAGUUGGGGGAGAGUGACAUAAAAGCUGCAAUUUCUGCAGCAUGGAAGUUGGUAGCAGUGCUGUAUGACCAGAGCAGGAAAGAAAAGGAGGACCCACACAUUGCUUGUGCCUCAAUCUAGUCAUUAAAAAGGGCAAAUCAUUGGACAAACUCCCACCAUGUGAGGACAGUUCUGAAGAGCAGGUCAAAAGAGCAUCUUGGUAAACAAAGAUCUGGUUGCCUUUGCACAUAAAUUAACUAGAUAUUGAGUCACAAUUAUAAUAUGGAUGACAAAAUGUGGAUGAUGAACUACUUCUGGCAUUCUUGAAGGGCCCAUAGGCACCUGAGCUUCAACAAGCCCUUAUUUGUGCCUGUACCAGGAAGAGGUCACUACACAAUCAACUGUGUCUGUAGUUCACACUAUUUUCCCUGCACAGAACUGUGUACAUGCCAAGACAAUGAAGACCGUGGUAACCCACGCACUCUCGACAAAGAUCAUUUUGAUGAACAAGUUGAUUAUAAUGAUGUUGACUAGCAAUGUCACCAGUGCUUAUUACAUUAUGUAUAUAUCUGUACAAAAUUAUUAGAUUUUGUUUUAUCCCUUAUAUUGUUGUGAUGCUCUGAGAUGACAGAAACCCAAUUUUAGGUCUUGAAAUAAUACACAGACAUUAAACUUACAGAAAUAAAUACAAAUAAAUUUCAAAGCAGUCAUUUUAAUAUGUUCAUGAGGUCAUUGUUUAUUUCU